CGUGAAGGGUGGAAUGAGAUCAGGAAGUAUGUAAGGUGGGCAGGAAGGUGUGCGUGAAGGGUGGAAUGAGAUCAGGAAGUAUGUAAGGUGGGCAGGAAGGUGUGCGUGAAGUGUGGAAUGAGAUCAGGAAGUAUGUAAGGUGGGCAAGAAGGUGUGCGUGAAGGGUGGAAUGAGAUCAGGAAGUAUGUAAGGUGGGCAGGAAGGUGUGCGUGAAGGGUGGAAUGAAAUCAGGAAGUAUGUAAGGUGGUCAGGAUUGUGUGCGUGAAGGGUUGAAUGAGAUCAGAAAGUAUACAGGGUGGACAAAAAGUUGUGCAUGAAGGGUGAAGGCGGCGUAAACCUAUAUUCACUCACUCACACUGACUCACUUAUUACAACUGCCUUGGUUGCAAACACAUAUGUACAUACUGGGCACUCACCUCUGCAUGGUAUGCAUAUGCUAAUGAGGUGGUGUAGUCAUCAUUGUAGCCCUGAUGAUAUCCGAUCUGUAGUCAAACAUGACGCCAGCAAGAAAGUAUUGCCUUAUUGCUUUCCGCGUGUUCUCCUCAAGGGAAAUUCGUCGUGUAUUUCUGACUGGCGACUUUGUGUAAACAUUUAUCAUCAGUAGGUAUUAAUGUUAAAAGAGGUUGUCUGUGCAGACAAAAAAGGAUUUGACAUGACAUGCCAUUAACUGAACACAAAUAAACUAUGUAGAGAGACACUGUUUGCGGGGCGUGUUCGGUUAGAUAGAUGAGCGAAGUCGGGACUGGCUUUGUUUACACUAUAUUUCCCACGAUGUGAAGGAGGUUAGAUGCUGUCAUUACCUUGAAUACAUCUGUUUGACGAAAUAGAUAAUUUAAAAAAAAAAGAAACAUUCCAUGUCAUCAACACGAUCUCUUGUGAAUGAUGGAUAUGUUAGGUUAAGAUUCCAGGUGUAACAAAAUGACUUGUUUCACAACAGUUAUACAGAAGAUGUUUUUUCCUUCUGAUAAAAUGCGCCGAUGUUCGAUUGAGUAAGUUUGUCGGUGGACUGACUCGGCACAGAUAGAAAUAGCUUAUUGUUACUGUUAGAUAUCCUAUGUUCCUCAACAUAAAUGUGCUUUAUUUCAAGUUGUGAAUGUAUUACGAUACAGACAACAUUUUGCAUGUGUUUGUCAAUCAUAAUUCCGUAACGGAAUGCUACUGAUUUCGUUUGUCUGUCGUUCUGUUUGUCUGUAAUAGAGUCUGGUCGAGACAAUCCAGUGAUCAACAGCAUGGCCAUGCAUAGUGUCAACCAAGGCAGCGAUAAACAUGGGUCGCUAAAGACAAAUUCUAACACUGACCUUCAUGGAAAAUGUUAGACAACAAUAAACCCUCAAAAUUAUUGCAUUUUAAUUUAAAAAGUCAUUAUCUUUGCGUUUUAAAACUCAAAAUGGUGUGUUUUAAAAUGACAGAUAUAAUCAGAAAAUGACCCAGUAAUAUUAUCCUGUGUGGAUUGGGUUUUUUUGUGAGAGGCGGUUGUUGUGUCAGGGAUAUGUAUAUCGUACUAUACAAAUACAGGCCUCUGAUAACAUCACUGAUAUAUAUCUAGUCACUACGUUACAUGGUAACCGGGGUACUGUGUACCGGGCUAUUACAUGUAGUAAAUAACUGGAAGCCCCUUUAAGAAUUAACCUUUAUAUUAUGUCCCCAGCAACGACUGCUCGUCGUACGUGACGACCAAAUGGGGUCGUAUUUGGGAACGUUAGUGUCAUCGUGCCCUUAUAGCGGUGGUGGUCUCAUUAUCGAUCACUGGCUUUUCUGUUCCAUAUCCGAUUAUGUAAAGGCCGCUGUCAUAUACAGGGAAUAUUGCUGAGGGUGGGGACGAAAAAUGUAUCCAAGAUUAACCAUCAUAUUGAUACCCUUUUCUGAAUCUAUGUUUAUAUUCUAAAUUCUCAUUUGUUUACAUGUAACAUAGCGUCCAAAGUGAUGGAAACGGACAUAUUUGGAUGCUAUUUUAACACUCUAUCUU
rnacentral:lncRNA from 1 species